rnacentral:rRNA from 1 species
GACGAACGCUGGCGGCGUGCUUAACACAUGCAAGUCGAGCGGACUUGAUGGAGUGCUUGCACUCCUGAUGGUUAGCGGCGGACGGGUGAGUAACACGUAGGCAACCUGCCCUGAAGACUGGGAUAACUACCGGAAACGGUAGCUAAUACCGGAUAAUUUAUUUUGCUGCAUAGCGAAAUAAUUAAAGACGGAGCAAUCUGUCACUUGAGGAUGGGCCUGCGGCGCAUUAGCUAGUUGGUGGGGUAAUGGCUCACCAAGGCGACGAUGCGUAGCCGACCUGAGAGGGUGAACGGCCACACUGGGACUGAGACACGGCCCAGACUCCUACGGGAGGCAGCAGUAGGGAAUCUUCCGCAAUGGACGAAAGUCUGACGGAGCAACGCCGCGUGAGUGAUGAAGGUUUUCGGAUCGUAAAGCUCUGUUGCCAGGGAAGAACGCUCAGGAGAGUAACUGCUCCUGAGGUGACGGUACCUGAGAAGAAAGCCCCGGCUAACUACGUGCCAGCCGCCGCGGUAAAAC